rnacentral:rRNA from 1 species
CCUUCAACGGGUAACGGGGAAUAAGGGUUCGAUUCCGGAGAGGGAGCCUGAGAAACGGCUACCACAUCCAAGGAAGGCAGCAGGCGCGCAAAUUACCCAAUCCCGACACGGGGAGGUAGUGACAAUACAUAACGAUACAGGGCCCUUUCGGGUCUUGUAAUUGGAAUGAGUACAAUGUAAAUACCUUAACGAGGAACAAUUGGAGGGCAAGUCUGGUGCCAGCAGCCGCGGUAAUUCCANCUCCAAUAGCGUAUAUUAAAGUUGUUGCANUUAAAAAGCUCGUAGUUGAACUUUGGGCUUGGUUGGCCGGNCCGCCUUUUUGGCGAGUACUGGACCCAACCGAGCCUUUCCUUCUGGCUAACCAUUUGCCCUUGUGGUGUUUGGCGAACCAGGACUUUUACUUUGAAAAAAUUAGAGUGUUCAAAGCAGGNCUUUGCUCGAAUAUAUUAGCAUGGAAUAAUAGAAUAGGACGUUAUGGUUCUAUUUUGUUGGNUUCUAGGACCAUCGUAAUGAUUAAUAGGGACGGNCGGGGGCAUCAGUAUUCANNNGUCAGAGGUGAAAUUUCUUAGAUUUACUGAAGACU